AUGAGAGGUCUAGGAUACAAGUGUCCUACUUGGACACGACUACAUAUCCUAUCUAAACACAAUACAACUCAGAGUCCAACUGUAACCUACCUUGUACACAAUAUUCGACACAACUCUAACAUGUACUCCAAAAUUUAUCCUCAAGAUGCCUGUGGCCGUGAGAAGGCCGCAACUGAGCUGAGUUGUGCAAGCACUACAACACACCAGAGGACUUUGUCAUUCACUGCUGUGUUGGCCAUUUCUACAGUGUUGAUGGACAAUUUGAGGCCUGGAAAGGCGGCCACGAGAAGGCACUGGUUGCCUUCUGUGGAAUGGCUCGUACUUCCACAAAACAUCUGCAUGCAGAGUUGCAGAAAUAGUGUGGUCUGCGUGGAGCUGUGCAGACUGUUGUUGUGUUGCAAUAGGUUAAACCGUUAA
rnacentral:rRNA from 1 species